GGGCGGAUAGCUCAGCUUGGUGAGAGCGCCUGCCUUACAAGCAGGAGGUCGGAGGUUCGAAUCCUCUUCCGCCCA
rnacentral:tRNA from 1 species